rnacentral:rRNA from 1 species
AGAGUUUGAUCAUGGCUCAGAUUGAACGCUGGCGGCAGGCCUAACACAUGCAAGUCGAACGGUAACAGGAAGCAGCUUGCUGCUUCGCUGACGAGUGGCGGACGGGUGAGUAAUGUCUGGGAAGCUGCCUGAUGGAGGGGGAUAACUACUGGAAACGGUAGCUAAUACCGCAUAAUGUCGCAAGACCAAAGAGGGGGACCUUCGGGCCUCUUGCCAUCGGAUGUGCCCAGAUGGGAUCAGCUUGUUGGUGGGGUAACGGCUCACCAAGGCGACGAUCCCUAGCUGGUCUGAGAGGAUGACCAGCCACACUGGAACUGAGACACGGUCCAGACUCCUACGGGAGGCAGCAGUGGGGAAUAUUGCACAAUGGGCGCAAGCCUGAUGCAGCCAUGCCGCGUGUAUGAAGAAGGCCUUCGGGUUGUAAGUACUUUCAGCGGGGAGGAAGGGAGUAAAGUUAAUACCUUUGCUCAUUGACGUUACCCGCAGAAGAAGCACCGGCUAACUCCGUGCCAGCAGCCGCGGUAAUACGGAGGGUGCAAGCGUUAAUCGGAAUUACUGGGCGUAAAGCGCACGCAGGCGGUUUGUUAAGUCAGAUGUGAAAUCCCCGGGCUCAACCUGGGAACUGCAUCUGAUACUGGCAAGCUUGAGUCUCGUAGAGGGGGGUAGAAUUCCAGGUGUAGCGGUGAAAUGCGUAGAGAUCUGGAGGAAUACCGGUGGCGAAGGCGGCCCCCUGGACGAAGACUGACGCUCAGGUGCGAAAGCGUGGGGAGCAAACAGGAUUAGAUACCCUGGUAGUCCACGCCGUAAACGAUGUCGACUUGGAGGUUGUGCCCUUGAGGCGUGGCUUCCGGAGCUAACGCGUUAAGUCGACCGCCUGGGGAGUACGGCCGCAAGGUUAAAACUCAAAUGAAUUGGCGGGGGCCCGCACAAGCGGUGGAGCAUGUGGUUUAAUUCGAUGCAACGCGAAGAACCUUACCUGGUCUUGACAUCCACGGAAGUUUUCAGAGAUGAGAAUGUGCCUUCGGGAACCGUGAGACAGGUGCUGCAUGGCUGUCGUCAGCUCGUGUUGUGAAAUGUUGGGUUAAGUCCCGCAACGAGCGCAACCCUUAUCCUUUGUUGCCAGCGGUCCGGCCGGGAACUCAAAGGAGACUGCCAGUGAUAAACUGGAGGAAGGUGGGGAUGACGUCAAGUCAUCAUGGCCCUUACGACCAGGGCUACACACGUGCUACAAUGGCGCAUACAAAGAGAAGCGACCUCGCGAGAGCAAGCGGACCUCAUAAAGUGCGUCGUAGUCCGGAUUGGAGUCUGCAACUCGACUCCAUGAAGUCGGAAUCGCUAGUAAUCGUGGAUCAGAAUGCCACGGUGAAUACGUUCCCGGGCCUUGUACACACCGCCCGUCACACCAUGGGAGUGGGUUGCAAAAGAAGUAGGUAGCUUAACCUUCGGGAGGGCGCUUACCACUUUGUGAUUCAUGACUGGGGUGAAGUCGUAACAAGGUA